UGUGUGUGUGCGCAAGCCUUUAAGAGGUGUGUGUGUGUGUGUGUGUAUGCAAGGCUUUAGGUUGUGUGAGAUGUAUAGCUUGGGCAUAACUUUAGUGGAACCCAAGUCUAUGUGUGUGUGUGUGUGUGUGUGUGUGUGUGUGUGUGUGUACCACUAGCACAGAGACUGGUGCAUUGGGGAGGGAAAGGCAGAAUUCAGCACUCACACAAACACACUCACCCUACGUCUCACACACACACACACACUCGCCCUACGUCACACACACUCACACACUCGCCCUACGUCACACACACACACACUUACUUCAUAACCGUGCAUUUCUAUGUCACACACACACACUCACUUCAUAACCGUGCGUCCCUACAUCACAAACACACACACACACUCACUUCAGACUCUAAAGGCUUAUCUUCACGAGGUUAUAAGGUAUGUUGGGCUCCUCCCUGUCUGCCGCUGAUCAGCCAAUCAGAAGAGCAGCUGGAGUAGACUAGCAAAUCACUAAUGAGGUGCAGCAGCCAAUCAGCUGAAGCUAGGAGGAGCUGUAUAAUUCCUCUGUCAUGUCAUUUAUUUACUGUAGCCAUACAUUCUCAUUCUUUAGUGUGUGUGUGUGUGUGUGUGUGUGUGUGUGUGUGUGUGUGUUGUGUGUGUGUGUGUGUGUGUGUGUGUGUGUGUGUGUGUGUGUGUGUGUGAGAGUGAGAGAGAGAGGAAAAUAAAGUGUGUUCCAGUACCACACACGCAGAAAGAAGACACACACACAGCUGACGAAAACCCAAAUCACCGUUGGCGCAAGACAGCUCUGUGUGUGGACCACACUCCUGCCACACACACACACACACACACACACACAACCCUCUAGCCCUGAACACGGACACACACACACUCACCCCUCUGCCCUGGUCCUGAGUAGGCGACCCACACACACACACACACACACACACGCAUAGACUUGGGUUCCACUAAAGUUAUGCCCAAGCUAUACAUCUCACACAACCUAAAGCCUUGCAUACACACACACACACACACACACCUUAAAGGCUUGCGCACACACACACGUCCUAAAGGCUUGCGUUGAACACUCCAAAUAAUCACUGUCAUCCAUUUUGGACCACAGUUUAAGAAAUUAACCAAUCAGUGAACAGAUAGCUGCUUUUUUUUUUAUUACUAUGUAAUAGUAACAUCCUUUCUAACUGACGGAGGGUUCCACCAAUGGGCAAAGGCACUGGAGCAUUCCGACAGGAGGCGGGCACAGUGGGGAAGGUUGUGAUUGGAGGAGAGAUAAUUGGGGCGGGCUUUGGAUGGAC
ensembl:lncRNA